AGCAGUAGCCACGGGAAUACGAAGGGGGCUAGCGUUGUUCGGAAUUACUGGGCGUAAAGCGCACGUAGGCGGAUAUUUAAGUCAGGGGUGAAAUCCCGCAGCUCAACUGCGGAACUGCCUUUGAUACUGGGUAUCUUGAGUAUGGAAGAGGUUAGUGGAAUUGCGAGUGUUGCGGUGAAAUGCGUAGAGAUCGGGAGGAACAUCAGUGGCGAAGGCGGCCAUCUGGGACAACACUGACGCUGAGGCACGAAAGCGUGGGGAGCAAACAGGAUUAGAUACCCGAGUAGUCCCUGUCUCUUAUAC
rnacentral:rRNA from 1 species